AUCCUUUUGCAGUUCAUAAGCGUGAUGAUUGAGUUUUCACACGCAUGCGUGAGAUGUGCCUCCCUCAAACCUUGUUACAACGUCAGCACAUUACCCGUCUGACA
ensembl:snoRNA